ACCGCCCCCAGCCUCGCCCCCGCGACCCCUGCCCGGCUCCGGGGCUCGCGCCGCCCAGGCUUUCGCCCUCUGGAGAUUCUGGAAGCCGGUUCGGUCCCCACCCUGUGCUGCCCUCCCCCACACUUGCGUACCACCCCUACCUUGCUGCUGGGAUCCGAGUCCCCUCCUUUAUAGGCGUUUGAGGGUCACCUUUGGCAUUCCUAAACACAGCCCUGCAUCACCUGCAGAGCCUUUCUUGCUCCCCCAACCCCGUCGGCCCUUAUGUCUGCUUCCUCCACCUCCUCCUCUGGCUCCUGGAAUUUUGACUUUGCAACUGCCUCAGCCUCCCCCUCAUCCCUCGUUUUCUUCCUCGCCUACCCCUGAAUUGCAAGUUGGUCGGCAUUUCACCUCUCACUCCACCCCACACACCUCCUACGUCUACAUCCCACGUUCACUUUAUCCCUUUUCUCGUGUUUCAAGUGCAGCUUUUCAGACCCAGGCAUUUCCGGUCUCGGGGUCCCUGAAUAUUACAUUACUAACUCUGCAGCCGCGUGGGGCUGGGAGGACAGACAAGUGCACAGUGGGAGGAAGGGAAGCCUGGAUUUCCUCGCAAACUCGGACCGGAAGACGAUGUUUACAUACAUGUACAAACACACAAUACAUGCUGCCUGUGGUCAGUAGGGAGGACUUGGGGAAACUCGUGGGAGUGGAGGCCAAGGAGAGUUGGAGGGAGGGGCUCAUUAGGGAAGCGGUUAGGAGGAAACAACUGUGUCAGGAAUGCUUUCAAAUAACCCAUUUAUUGUUCCACGUGGGGCACUUACUCUCUCUCCUUCCGGAAUUUUCAAUUCAGCAGCAUUUGUAUGUUUUUCUUUAGCGGGCAGUUUUGUCUUAAGGGCAACAUAGAAAUUUCAAGGUGAACCACUCCAGACUGUCUCUCUCCCAGGUGGUGUUUGGAUUCCGUCCCCUUCGAGCUUUCCCAACCUGCGUAGGUGUAGAUAGAGCAGGGUUUCCCCACCUCAUGCUUACCUUCGCAGAAGGUCUCUCUACACAUUGUCUGCUGACUUUUAAAUUAACCAGGGAAAAGGCAACCACCCCACAAGUGCCCCGGAUAUGACUGGAGGGGAGAGAGAAUUGAAGAGAGCAGAGUCAUGUUGUUAAUUGGGUUUCUCUAGGUGACACAGUUUUGUUUUGUUUUUUUUUUUUCCCCUCCUCCCUUGCCAUUCAGGUCAUAAUUUGUCUGGUGCAACGUUGGGUUUCUGGAGAACAAGAUUGAGCAUUAGAUCUCUCUCUCUCUCUCUCUCUCUCUCUCUCUCUCUCUCUCUUUCUCUCUAUCUCUCGCUCUCGCUCUGUGUGUGUGCGCACUUUGACAGAGAAGGCUUUAGGAGAUAAGCUUAGUCCGUGUUUAAACUAGGAUACUCAAGUCCAUUGGGAUAUAAGAUGUAAGUCCAGGUUUUGAGUAAAGUUUUAAUGUGCUUGAAUUUGGAAUGCAAUUGCAGAUUGAAGUUGUUAAUUAACUCUGGGCGCAGGUUCUCUGGCUGUGGUGACCAUAAAGAAACACUGUUACUCCGUGGGUAGGUGCAGACCGUGACCUUUGAUUUUUCCCUUUGGUCCUCUGCUUCUCUUUUCUUUUGGUUUCUCUGGUAACUUUAUCUGGGCCCCCAUCUUGGCGUUUCCAGCAAUUCUGCAAUUACUGUUUGACCUUGGCCAUGGUAUUUCCCUUCUGGACUUCCCUCCAUGAAGUAUGUUAGCCUCCUUCCAUGCUUACUUCUCCUGGGUUUCCUCUCCUUCCCUUCAAGAGAACCGGGUGACCUGUUCCUUAUACUUCUAUCUGUCCUGCCUUCUGCUUCUGAAGAAAACAACCCAUUUCUCUCACAGUGGUACUUCGAGACCUGAGGAAGAGCUGCAGUUUCUUGAAAUGGGGCUGAAAGGCUGCUCUUUCCUUACUCCUGGCUUCCUUUGCCAUUGCCAGUCUGGUCCAGCACACCUGUGAGAAGUGCUAUGGCCUAUCAGGCAGCUGGCCCAGUCACACCUUGUUCUGUUGAUGCUUUCUAGAUAGGAAUGGAAACAUUGGGUGAAUUAACCAAGUAUGCAAGCCUGGUGUUGGUUGUGUUAGAGUGAGAGAAGAGCAUCCUUAGGGUUGAGUAGCUAGCCUCUAUGAGCCUCAGAUGUCUUUCUCCUCUUGUUUCAAGAUAAGGUUUGGCUUUCAAUUGACAGUAAGAGCAAUAGUCUGAUAUUAGAGGAAAAUUGAAUUGCACUAAUCUCUUAGUAAGGAGGCCAGAAGGACCUGUUACUUUGUAACCACACCACCCUUGGCUUCUUGGGCUGUUCAUCCAUCAGUACGGUGGCAUAAUGUAGAGGGGGAGGAACAUGAGUCUGGUGUUGCUUUCUUGAAUUGAAGUCCUAGCUUCCUUACUUCCUGUAAAAUGCAGACCUUGGUUCUUUAUCCUUACUUCCCUUCCUUCAGACUCUGCAGUCUAACUUCCCUAAGCUCCAUUUUCUCGCCUGUGUGAUGGGAACGGCAAUAGCGUUAGACAUAGUUACUGAAGUUAAAUGAAAUGAUGCACGUUAGUCGGCUCAGUUCCUAGCAUAGAUCAACUGUAUUACCAGUCAGAAAAGCCUCCCAGGAGAACUCUAAUAAAUAACACUCUCUCCUUGCUUUAUGUUUCUGUAAAAUUCUGUUUUUCAUACUUCUUAUCACUAAGAAGGCAUAGAUCUAUUUCUGUCAGUCUUGACUAAAACAUGAAUUAAGGCUGGGGGGACUAACUCAGUAGUAAUUGUCUGUUUAACAUGGGCGACACACUAGGAUCUUCAGUGCCACAAAAAUAAAAGCAUACUGUAAGCUAGAAUUCUGACUGCCCUGUUCCCUGUCCUCAGUGCCUAGAGCGUUUUAUGCAAUGGGACUCAGAGACUUGUUAAGUGAGUGCACGCUGGAACAACUGGAAGCUGUUAGUGUAAUGCUUGCUUAAAGUAAUAAAGAAAUGCGGGGUUGGGGAUUUAGCUCAGUGGUAGAGCGCUUGCCUAGGAAGCGCAAGGCCCUGGGUUCGAUGUCCAGCUCCGAAAAAAAGAACCAAAAAAAAAAAAAAAAGAAAUGCUAGACUUGGCCAGAGGAGAUGGCUCAAUGGGUAAAGGCAGUUACAACCUGAACUUGACCCUCAGAACCCACCUGGUAGAAUAAGAAAGUGGGUUGUCCUCUGACUUCAUAUGUGUGCCAGGAUGCAUGUAUGCAUGAAGCCAUAUUAAAAUAUACAUACAUAUAUAUAUAUAUAUAGAAAUAUAAAUAAAUAUGAAAUAUGCUAGGUGUUGUAGCACAGACUUUCAACCCUAGAAGAAAAGUAAGUGGGAUCUUUGAGUUAUAUGACAGCCUGGUCUACAUAAUAGAGAAACCCUGCCUUAAAAAAACAAAACAAAAAAAAAGUUCAAGGGUAGCCUGGAUCACAUGAGAACCUGUCUCAAAAACAAGGACAGAAAGAGUCUUUUCUGAGAUGCUCUGGAAUCAGCUCUUGCCUGUGAUAAAGCAGAGUUCUGGAUGCUUCUGAUCAAACAAUGGCUAAAAUAAAGUUUGUAUUAUCCUGGGGCCUCUACUAUGAAGUCAUCUUUGCCUGUGUCCAAACUUGGUUCUAUUCCAAAAGAGUCUUCUGACUUGAAACUGUUGGCUUCUCACAAAGGAUAAAGCAUGGGCAAAAGAAGCCAGGAGAGGGAGGAGCAGACCCCAGCUGAUCUCUUUCUUGUACAUCACUGCUUUUGGUUGACCCACUUCAUAAAUCAGUUUCUUCUUACUGUCCAGCAGCUAGAAGUUUUAGACUGCAGUGUCCCUGCAGCUCUGGGGCCAGGCAGUGCGGCUCUAUUGAAGUAAUGCCACGGCACACCUUCAUGGGAUUUCUUAUUGGGUGGUAGUUGCUGACAGGUGUUUUUUUUUUCUCAGAUGAUUGUGCAUGUUUUGUGUGUCUCAAAUGAUUAUGCAUGUUCUCUGAGGAAGCCGUUGCUCCUCUGUCUCUGCUGCUGUAGAGCCAGCACCACUAGAAAGCUGGCAGCGGGCCUGUGUCUAGGCUGCGGAGCAGUGGGAUUGCUGCUGUGUGCUGAGAUGCUAGAUGUCCACAUGUUGAUGACAGAUGUCCUAGGCAGAGGAAUGGGAGGACUGACCUCCUGCAGCAGCAGCGAGGGCAUUUAGUGACUUUCCCCCUAGAGAAUGACAGGAGGAGGGGGGAUUUGAAAGCUGUGGCAUUUGAGGUGAUGUAAAAUGUUGCUUUGGUAAAGUGAUGGAAGGAUGAUGGGAGAGAGCAUGGCUGGAACUGGGUGUUCAGCCAUUACCCUGACAGGAGAAACAUCACCACCCUUCAUGUUGUAGAGUUGAACAAACCGCCAUAGCUUAGUGAUGCAUGAAGGAACAGUUCUGUGGGAAAUCGGAGUGUGCGUGUGUAUGUGUUCAUGUAAGUCUGUGGGCGUACAUAACCUGCGGAAGCUAGGGAAUGCUGGAUGUCUUUUUUCAUUCUCCACCGUACACCCUUGACACAUCUCACUGACCCAGAGACUCUCUAUUUUGGGCUAAGCUGGCUGGUCAUUGAGCUCCUGUUAUUUAUCUACUGUUUGAUCUCCUCCCCGCAAUGUCGAGGUUUCAGACACACACAGCUAUGCCUAACAUUUUGAGUGGUUGCUGGGGAUUCAAGCUUACAUCAAGUGCUGUCAGCUGCUAACCCAUCUUUGUAGUGACCAAAAGUGAGGGUUUGACAGUGACAACAACUGGGGGCUGGCAGGGGGGUUAGUCAGUGAGGUGUCUGCUGUGCGAUUAUGAGGACCUGGCUCCAGGCAUGGGCUGAUGAGGGACUGACUCUGGGUCCACAGCACCCAUGUAAAAGCCAGGUGAGGUGGCACAUACCUGUAACUCCAGGUGGGGCUGAGGCAGGUGGAUCCCUGGAGCUCAUUGACCAGUUAGCCUAGCCAAAUAAAUGAGGUGGAGAACCAUCAAAGAAGAAAGAUACUGAUGUUGACCUCCCCCAGCCCCUCAACUGCAUGUGUACCCAUAUGCACAUGUACGCAUAUGUAACCGCACCCCACCCCAUAACAGGAAGGAGGGUCAGCAAGACAUCGAUCUGGUCCCACUCUCUCCCCAAGAGCUCAUGAUGCUGAAUAAGGUGCAGAUUUGGCCUUACUCCAUUGAGCUACAAACUGUGCCUAAGACAGAAUAAAUAAGACACAAUUUGGGCUACUUAGAACACUUCAUCACUCGGGAAAGGAUGGCAGGAAGUGUUUAACGUCUGUUGAUGAGCUUGCUGUUUGGUUUAGGUCUGUAAACAAGGAAUGUAGUAACCUGUCCACCCAGUCCCAUACAAACGUUCUGUCCUGGAGAGCAUCUCCAGAAGCCGUCUGAGUCUACCUGCAGAGGUUUCUGUCUCCAGAGUCCUGUCAGCCCUGACCUUUCCUUCAUCAGCUGUCAUUAAGCAUUCCCUUGCUGUUGAUAGCCAGGUCUAGACUCUAUGGGAAGGAUGUGAUAUUGUACCUAAAACUGUACUAAACAUCUGAACCAGUACUCUGUGAGCAUCCACUUAAGAAAUGCCUUUGCAAACUCAGAUCUUAGGAGUACUACCCCUUCUCCGGCCAGGGGUCCUGCUAUAUUGUUCAGGCUGGCUUCAAAGUCCUGGACUCAGUGGGCCCAGGUGGUUGGUACUACAGGCAUGUACCACUGUGCCCUCCUAGGUUGUCCUGGUCUUUCUGUCUGUUUUUAUGUUUUUGUGUGUAUGAGUGUUUCGCCUGCAUGUGUGUCUGUGCACCUUAUGUGUUUUUAUGUGUAUGAGUGUUUCGCCUGCAUGUGUGUCUGUGCACCUUAUGUGUAUUUAUGUGUAUGAGUGUUUCGCUUGCAUGUGUGUCUGUGCACCUUAUGUGUAUUUGAUGCCUGCAACAUCCAGAAAAGGACAUAGGAAUUCCUUGGAACAGGAGUUACAGUUGUGAGCCACCAUGUGAGUUCUAGGGUUUGAACCUGAGUUCUCUGGAAGAGCAGCCAGUGCUCUUAACCUCUGAGCCAUCUCCGACCUUGCUCUUACCUUAACGGUUAGUGUUUUCCUCAGUAUCUUAGAGCUUUCAAAGCUAGGCAUUCUUGCUAAUCCUGAUUGUUAUGAAUUUAAACUCAUUUUCUGCUGUAUUGUAAUUAAUGAGUGGCCAGUCAUCUUGAAAUUCAGUUUUCAGCCCCACACUCACACCUACCAUAUAACGGUUCAUGCCAGUAGCCCCUUAGCCUCUCCCCAAGCCCCAUUGAAAACUAGAGCAGGAAGUGGUUAAAUUAAAUGAAUAGAAUUUUUUAAAAAUCCGCUUCUAUAUGAAUGUGUGCAUGCAUUUGUGUGUGUUUGUCCUGUGGUGUGUGUGGUUAGAAAUCAGGACAACCUUGGAUAUGGGUCUUUGAGUUCCACCUUGAGGCAGCCUUUUACUCAUUGCUACCCAUGCCAGGCUAGCUGGUCUGCAAGCUUCCAGAGGUUCUCCUGUCUCUGCCUCCCAUCCUGCCAUAGGGUUACUGCACCUGUCUUUACAUAGGUUCUGGUGGUUUGAACUUGGUUCUAUGCCUGUGUGUUAAGUGCUUUACCCACUGAGCCAUCUUCUCAGUCCCAAUUGACCUUUUUGUUAAUUGCUUUUUCUGGUUUCACUCUGUCACCGAGACUGGUAACACUAUGUAGCCCAGGCUGACUCAAACUCAGACUCUGGUGAUCCUUAUGUCUUAGUUUCCCAAGUGCUGGGAUUACAGCAUGACUGCACAAGCUUUGUUUUUCUGGUCACUAUUCCCUGACAGUAUGGUAUGGCAACUGUUCUAUAGCAUUUAUAUUUAUGUUAGGUAUUAAAAGUGAUCUGGAGUUUAAAGUCUGCAGGGGACUGUGUAGGCUCUGUGCAGACACGCAUGGUUUUAGCUGUGCUUGUCAGCGAAAGCAUACAGUCCUAGCAGCUUCGCCAGGCUGAGAUGGAAGAACUGCCAGUUCAAGGCCUGCCUAGCUUCAGAGUAACUUAAAGUCGGCUUUGGCAAUUUACUGAGCCGUCUUCCUAUCCAGAGUAUUAGGAGGACUGGUGAAGCUGGGUGUGGUGCUGCAGGGAGGCAGAAGCAGAGGGGUCUCUGUGUUGAGUGAGUGCAGCAACAGCCAGAGCUACAUAAUGAGACCUUGUCUUGGGUAUGUGUAUGGAGGGAUGGCUGGUGAAAUGAAAUGUCUUUGUAGGUAAAGUCACUUACUGCCAGGCCUGUUGACUCAGGUUCAGUCUCCAAGACCCACAUGGUGGGAGUAGAGGACCAACUCCCCCAAAUUGUUCUCUCACCUCCUCAUGUACAUACACAAACAUAUAAAUAGAUAAAUGUGAUUUAAAAAUUUUUUUGGCUUUGCAAGAUGAGAUUUCUCUGUGAAGCUCUGGCUGUCUGCCUGCCUCUGCCUUCUCAGUGCUGGGAUUAAAGGUAUAUUCCACUACUGCCAGCCAAUAAAUGUGAUUUUAUGGGUGUGGGGGGUAAAAAGAGAGCGUAAUAUCAGUAUGGUGGCAAACAUCUGUAACCCCAGAAUUUGGGUGGGAGGGAGAGAUCAGGAAUUGAAGGCUAACCUGGGCUACAUGAGUUCUUAUCUCAACAAAAGAACAAAAAAUGGCCUGGGGUGUGUCUCUGGUAGAGCGCUUGCUUAGCAUGUUUAAGGGUUUAGAUUUAAUCUUUGAAACCAACUGCACUCCUCCACAAAACGUAGUGUUUGCUUUGUUUCUGUUUCAAACUAGAGUCUGGUUAUUUAGCUGAGGUUAGCCUUGGAACUGCCAGAUACACUACACACACACACACACACACACACACACACACACACACACACGCAAGCUGGUCAUAAACUUGGAAUUCUCCUGCUUCUGCCUCCCAAAUGCUGGGUUAGGUUUAUGGCUCUGUGCCAACCUUUUCCAUUGUUUUUGUCUUCUGGCUGGCCUAGAACUUAGUUUGUAAGUCAGGUUCCCUAGUCUUCCUGCCUUAACCUUCUAAGUGCUGGGAUCUCAGAUGUGAGUCACACACCUGGCUUAUUUUCACAAGACAAAAACAUUUGGUUGGUUGAUUGAGAGGCAUAAGCCAAACUGGCAUUGCUUUAAGAAAAUAAAAGACACUAAAUAGAAAUGAAGCCACAGGUAGAACUAGUUAGUGGCUAAAAAUGAGACAGUGUCACUGGUGAACAGUUAUGAGCCAUGAAUCUGAGGUGUUGAAAACUUCACUUUGGUCCAAAAGAACUUAGUCUAAAGUUCUGUGGAGAAAAUGUUUUAUAAAAUAAUGGAUUGCUUAUGGGAAGGGCUCAGAACUGUAACCCUCAUGUGUUUAUUUGGGGAGGUUCCUGAGUCUUGGGUCUGUGGACUCACGUGUGGUUUUGUAGCAGGUGAGUGUCCUGCUCUGGGAGCUGGGUUCUUAGUCUGAGCAGCGGCUUAGGUAAGCGAGUCUCUCAUAAGAACAAUCCGACUUGGCCUUGACUUAGCUGUGAGAAGCAGGAUUCUCCCUCUAAUGUGAGACAGAUUCUGUGUAUAAAUAGACAGGCUCAUUUACAUUGUGCUCACAUAUAGGAUGAGUGGGGUGUGUUGGGGAGUGUCAGUGAGUUCUGCAUGCUUGAAAGGAAAUAGGGUUAGGGCAGCCACAAGUCUUGGGCUUAUUGGAGGAGCCAGACUCCAGAACCAGCUUGAAUGUCAGGUGGAUGUAGUGAGAUGGUAGGAUGGGCCGUGCGGAGUUUGGUGGCACAGCUCACAGGAGUCUGAGAGGUUUGAAUGAGGUAAGUGGAGGAAGUAGGGACAUUUGAGAAAAGUGAGGCUGGCCGGGGGAGGGAGACCUUCCACAGAGGAGGCAGCUCAGACCUCAUACUACAGAAGGUCAGAGCCCCACAGCCAGAGACCAUUGAGGCUAGAACUGACCAGUGAUGGAACAUUCCUGUGGCCUGGGAACCCCAGCCAGCAGCAUUCAAGGCUCACUGCAUUCGUAUGGCACUGAAUGCAUUUGAUUUGUCUCAGGUAACUCUGCCUCUUCUGUGGGGCCUCAUAAUACUUGGCCUUCUGAGGGAACAUGGAAAAUUUCUCACACCUAUUUCCACCAGCACCACCGGAGCAUGGAAUUUGUUGGGGUGGACUGUGAAUUGCUCCUGGACCCACAAGGAGUUUUCCAUGGACAGUGAUUCUUACAGAGAGAGACUGAGGCUCAGAAGGACUAAGUGAGGAAAAUUCUACCUUCUUUGAGACAUACCACACCACCUUUGUUUUUUUCCCACAAAGCCUUUGUCAUAGUGCCAGCCCUUAGGUGGUUAUCUUAUUUGCUCCUCGUAGACCAUAUGGUUUAAUUUGAUUACACGUUACUGUAGAUCAAAUAAUCUGUUAGUCAUCUUUCCUAUAGCUUUCUUAUGCAUGGGGAUCAUGAUCUGUAUUUCCUAUUGAUCUGUAACUGCCUAUAAAGAUUCUGAAUACAAGCUAGGGAUUCGGUGAUUAUUCAGUUGGUUGGAGGCCGGGCUCUUGACUUGUUCUUCCUACUGGUUUAGUUCCUGAGCCAUAACAAAUGGUUAGAAUAUGGUGGGCCCAGGGGAUAUAGAGCAGUACAAGUUAAUGCUCAGUGAUUCACAGCUGAGUGGCACUGCCCUCCAGGGUAUGCUUGAAAAUGUUGAGGAGGGAGUUUUAACUGUCACUAUGUCUUGGGAACACUAAAAGCACUUAGUAUAUGGGGAGCAGGGACAUCAGCCAUCCUACAGUCUUGCAGGCAUUGUAUGAAGAAUUGUUUUUCCACUUUUGGUUAUUUGUAAAACCUUUGUAAGUUUGUUAUGGAUGUUAGGCCACAGAAAGACAAGUUAGGUUUCCUCCACAGGGAGGAAGGAGUGCUUGUCUCCUGCUUACCUCUCUCUGGGAAGAGCUUUUGUACAUGGCACAUGUCUCUCAGACUAAGAGCUUUGUCUGCCAGUACACCUCUGAAGGCAAAAUAGGUAGGCUCUGUGCCAAACGUGUGGACAGGUCCCGUGUUCUCUUCACUACCCACCAGUUCUUUCAAGACACAUUUGGAAGAUAGUGGUGGAAACCUGCAGAACUAGGACUUUAAUUCUCAGUAACUUAAUGAAGAGCCUUCAAGAAAACUACUGAACAGGGUACCAUGAGAACAGAAUGUAUGUGGUAUGUGUAUGUAUGUGGUAUGGGAGCGAGGGGUGUAGAGAUAUCAGGCUAUUUGUUUCUUCUCUCGGCCUGGUCAUCUUCUGCUUGUCCCUCAAAGGUAGAAGAAUGAGUCUCAUCCAGGUGAACCCCUAAUAAACUGAGAGGUGUGCCUGCUCUUGCCCUCUCAGUUUUCACCCUAGCCUUCCUCCUACUCUCCAAACCUUACAGGGACGUAUGGGAGGGCAGAAGGCCUUGCCAUAGUGUCUGGGGCUACAGAAGCCAAGGAUGUGCAGCAGAACUUGUCAGGCACUGGUUCUGUUCAGCUGAGGUCCAAAGAAACUGGCAGAGUCCCCCCAGCUUUCACAAAUGUGUGGGCACUGUUUGGGACAUACGGCAAAGCAGAAUUGGAAGCAAGGGAGCAUGUGUGCCAGAGCCUGGUUUUUCUGGCCCUCAAAUCCUCUCUCAUAAGCCCUUCUUUUUCUGCUUUUCUUCAGUUCAGAACAAAGAAUGCUUUGAUACCACUCAUUUGUAUUUUAAUGUGUUCAUUUCAGAAGGGGAUUUGGGAGCUGGAGCAAGGAGCACUCACUGAGCAGUGAGUUCUGUCCUUGUGUGAUCUCAGUUUUCCUCACAGUGGCCCUUUGAGGUGGAUGAUGAGCCAGGUUUUCAACAAGAGAAACCAAGAGAAGCUACUUGGAAGUUCAGUAACCCAUCUGAGAUCUGAGAUCGGGUAGUCAGGGAGCGGCUAGACCUGGAUUCAGUCUCAGAUCUGACUCACUGUAGAACCAGAGCUUUUGUUAACUACCUGCAGUUGGAGGCAGGGAAUAUGGGGGUGGGCACUGAGGGAAAGGCAGGAGGGCAGUGUGUGGCCAGCACCUUACAUUGUUUUCUGCUUGUUUCAGUUGCAAAUGUGUAAAAUUUCUGUGAUCUGUGGCAAAUGGGUUUUGUAGGUUUGCCCAGGACUUGUAAAGUCCUCAGUGGCUUUUAGAACAUGGCUCAUUUAAUGGAUCAGAGACAGCCAGUGUGAAAAUGGCUCCAGAAGUGCAUGAUUCAGAGCUCUAGGUCUGUGCCUUUUUAAAACAAAGAUUUAUUUUUGUUUUACACUUCUGAGCUACAGUGAUCAUGUGUGAGUGUUUGCCUGCAUGUAUGUGUGUGCACUGUGUGUGCCUGGUGUGCACAGAAGCAUGAAGAAGGGGUUGGGAUCGCAGCUGGUUCUGAGCUUCCAUGUGGACGCUAGGACUAAGUCUGAGUCCUUUGCCGGAGCUGUAAGUAUUCCUAACCACUGGGCCAUCCCUUCAAACUUUUAAAACGUUUAUAAUAUUAUACUUUUAUUUAGCUUUUUUGCUUUGUUUUUGUUUUGAUCUUUGACACUUUCAAACAGGGUUUGUGUCAACCCUCCUGGAACCCACUAUGUAGACUAGGCUGGCCUCAAACCCUCAGAGAUCUGCCCACCUCUGCCUCCCGAGUACUGGGAUUAAAGACAUGCGCCGCCACUGCCUGGCACAUUUAUCUAUUUUUAAAUGUAGUUUUUGGUAUUAAGUAAAUUCUGUUCCCAUCCUCCAGAUGUUCUCAUGUUCCCCAGCUGAGUCUCCUGUGUCCAUCAAACACUCACUCUGCCCUGACUCCUCAGCCUAGAUACAGACUUCUUUCCUUCUGUGUGUAGAAUUGAGCAAGUACUAGACAUGGGCAGAUGGAUGGUUGACAUUUGUCUAGUCAGGUGAGGUGAACUGUUUCGGACUCACUGUUGACUUGGAAUGUUGGCCUUCUUGCAGGCUCUUCUGUGCAGUGACAGGUCUCUGAAAGGGCAUCUAGGCCAUAAGAGGAUUGGGUGGGCAGUAAGAAGAGAAGUGGUUUCCAUAUUCAGCACCACAUAACUUGCAGGAAUUCUCAUAUCUGUCACCAGCCUUUUACUUCAUUUCAUCCUGAGCUUGGAAGGUAUGUGUUGGAAGCAGUGCUUCUCCACUUUCCUAGUGCUGUGACCCUUUAAUACAGUCCCCCAACCAUAAAAUUAUUUUCAUUGCCACUUUGUAACUAAUUGUGCUACUGAGUCAUAAUAUAAAUGUCUGUUUUCUGAUGAUCUUAGGCGACUCCUGUGAAAUGGUCAGCCCCAAAGGAGUCUCAACCUGCAGGUUAAGAACCACUGUGUUGGGGCUGGAGAGAUGACUCAGUGGUUAAGAGCACUGACUGCUGUUCCAGAGGUCCUGAGUUCAAUUCCCAGCAACCACAUGGUGGCUCACAACCAUCUGUAAUGGGAUCCAAUGCCUUCUUCUGAUGUGUCUGAAGACAGUGAUAAUGUAGUCACAUAUAUAAAAUAAAUAAAUAUUUAAAAAAACAUUGCCUUAGAGGAAGUUGGAAAGAAGACCAUUUAGAGGGUGAAAGAUAAUAAAUUGUAGCAGCUUUCUGCAUUUGUGCAUGAGGGGUGGGGUGCGUGUGCCACUGGAACAAUUUAGAAUGAAGUCAGGCCCUGCCUUCCUCUGAGGUGUUCACACUGGUGGAAGUUCACACCAGUGGACAGACCCAAAGCAUGACCCAGGAAUAGUUUGGAUACCUUAGAAUGGAGCCCUGCUGAUCUAAGUUUCCCCUGUCUGUGCUACCUAACACUUUAUUCUUUGAUUUUUAGUGGGAUGUGGAAACAUGAGAGAGAGCUAAGAUAGGCUUGGUUAUUCAAGUGAGCCAGCAAAAAUGGAAGAAGUUGCUGCUUAGUGCUGACUACCUAGGAGGUCAAGAGCCGGGCAAUAGAAGCCUGUAGGUCAUACUUUGGAAAUAGUAACUCAGGAGUGCAGUGGUUAGGACUGUGCCUGGGAACUGCCUGUCAGAAGCCUGUCCAUGUCAUGAGCUUGAGUCCCAGGGUUCUGUAGCUCCUGCUUGCUUGUCCAGGAGCUCUCCAAGAGCUCUAUAAAAUCCUUUUUCUCUGUUCUUAGGGGCUGCAUGCACUCAGCCUGGUAUCAGUUGAGGCAGUUCUUGGAUGGAGGUUACCCAUGCCUACUGCUCAAAGUUUGAGUGAAGAAAUGUUCUAUUGCUUUCCUGAGAACCUACCUUUUUUUGUAUUUCUCGGUAGUCUGAAGCAGCAUCCACUGGCCACCUUACACUUUUGAAGGUGGCACCAGAGGCCCAAGGCUCUAGAGUUAGAGCUGAUUUCUGAUACUUGCGUGCUUAGUAACUUUGUUGGCUUGCCCAGUCCCUGACAUAUUUGAAGUGUUUGUGUGUGCCGUUCAUUCUGGGGUCCUUGGUCUAGUCUGUUCAGCAGGUUACAGUGAGCAUUUUACUCCUGCCAGAUGCCCUAUCCUGGCUUCAUGACCUCGAGUAAAACUGAUGUUUAGAGAGUUCCCAGUUGGAGACCUGUUCAUAUACCUUUCCAUAGCUGCUUUUGAACAUGCUCCAUGGGGUGGAUGUGGUGCCAGGAGACCUGGCUCUCCAUUCCAACUCUAGCAUAAGUUUCUCCUGGACUUGGUUUCCUCACCUGCAAAAUGAGGGGUUAGGGAUUGAGUGACUUGCAGUCAGAGACUCAUUCAAAACCACCUGUGCAUAGCCAGGCCCUGCCCAGGGGGUGAUUCACUACACUCAGGGUGGGGCCCUGGUAUCUUGGUUUCUUGCCCAGAGCUGUGGAAACAGACUUGAGACCCAGAACUCCUUCCUGUCUAACCUAACUCUGAGCUCUGAGUUCAUAUUAUAAGGUGUUUGUUUGUUUGUUUUUAGGUAGGGUCUCACUGGGUCCCCUUGAUUGACCUUGCACUCAUAGAAAUCCACCUGCCUCUGCUUCCCAAGUGCUGUGACUAAAGCUGUAUACACUACAGUUGGCUGUGCCACUGACUUAGACUUACAAAUCAGCCAGAUGGGGACUCACGGUGUUCUUUGUUGGAGGAAAAACUCCUCUGCGUGUUAAGCCAGGCAAAGGAGGAGUUGAGAAAAAUGAUCUUGGAGAGGCAUGGGAAGAUCUCAGGCAGGGAUGGUGUUGGAGCAUAGGGAUGAGAUGGAGCAUCCGUGCUAGAGACACAGGUAAAAGGAAGGUGACCUUUGGGACACUUGAUACCCAAAGGCUAUCCAGAUCCAGACGGGUGGUGCUAAGGGAAAAGAAUUGACAGAUCCAAGUGAGGAUUGAUUUUAGAAGACAGAAUUUUCACUUGGGCUUUGAGGAUUGGGGGUAGGAGCUGGAAUGGGUGCAGCCUUUUUUCACACAGGCCUUGACAACAGGCUUGGAUUUUAAACCCUGCUAAUCACUGUGUGAUCUUUGGCAAACAGCCAGUACUCCACACCUAAUUUUUUAUCCUUUGUAAAAUGAGGAUAACAAAACCCAUAUAAUAGGGCUGUUGAGAGUAUUAAAUAAAAGUGCUUAACCUGGUAAAUGCUUAUUAGAUAGGGGGUAGUUGUGAAGCCCUUUCUCCUGUGGAAGAGGGAAUUUUGGACAAUUCAGUUAACUUUCUCUCCUGAUUAGUGUUUUCUUUAAGGAGGAGAAAGCCAGCCAGUCAAUUGAUUUCAUAAUAGCUGUGAUGAGUCACAGCCCCAGGUGUGGGUCUGGAAUUGUAGAGCUUGGUUCCCUGGCUCCAGUUUGCUUGUCCAGGAGCUCUCCAACAGCUCCUGAAAGUCUUCCAGUGUCCCUGAGAGAAAGAAUGACUUGAAAAAUCUUAUCCAAACACGAAACUCCUGUUAGACUUGCCCCUGAGUCAGGGUUCCCAGUAAUCCCUGGGCAGUCUCUCUGCCCCUGACUGCUUUUGUGAACACUGUGGGCCCACCCAGAGGAAGCACUCAGCCCGAGGGGACAGUUUGGUGGGGCUACACUUGGGAUGCGAAAGGCGGGGCUUCUGUAUAAACAUGCUAGAGCUUUGUGUAAGCUGCAGACUCAGGGUUGGGUAGUGAGGAUCCCUGGCUCCUUCCUGGGAGUCCUUGUCCUCCCUCCCCAUAGCCUCAGCUUGGUUAACUUACUGCCCCUGUGGCUUCAGCUUAACUAUCGUGUCCUUUGUUGGCCUUCCUUCCCUAUCAGUCUUUCAUUGAUCUUUCUAAUAGUCCUCAGUCCUUUUUUUUCUUGGGCUUAGAGCUGUGAAACUGUAACUUCCUUCAGUGGAUGUCUUGUCAGUAAGCUCCCUAAGGGAGGGCUCUUUCUACUCUGGGUAUUACCUGCCACGCUCUAGUCCCUGACACCCUCCUUUCCCAGCCACUUCAUCCGUGUUUGCCUGCAUGCGUGUCUGUGCAUCUCAUGCAUACCAGGAGUCUACAGUCAGAAAGGGGUUUGGGAAGCCCUGAAGCUGGAGUUGGAGAUGAUGGUGAGCGUGAGCUGGAGUUGGAGGUGAUCGUGAGCGUGAAGACUGUGGUUGCCACAAGCACUUCCAACUGCAGAGCCACGCUCUGCUGUGGCUCCCACUUAAGAACAGGCUCGCUCUAACUUGUUCUGCCACUGGGGGACCUUGAACUUCUCUCUCUGCCUUUACCUCCUGAGUGCUGUGAGCACAGGUGUGUACCACUUCUUCCAGUGUUCUAAGAUGCUGAGGAUCGAGCAUGCUUCAUGUGUGUUAGACUUCAUGCGUGUUAGGCAAGCACACUCCUAAAUGAGGAACAUCCCCAGCCCUAGGCACUAGAUGUUUAUUGGUGUGUGUGUGUGUGUGUGUGUGUGUGUGUGUGUGUGUGUGUGUGUGUGUACACGUGCAGGAGUAUGUGUGCCAUGACACACAUGAGGAUGUUUGAGGACAACUUUAUAGAGUCAUUGUUUUCCUUGCACUUUCACAUGUGUUUCGGGUUACCAGGCUUUCCCAGCAAGCACCUUUAUCCGCUGAUGGAUGUUUGGUGAGUGAAUACUGAAUUGACUCUUACAGUGGGUGUGAGAGGAGUCAGAGGGGGUUUCUUAGGCAGAGCGGAGAGACAGCCUGGUGGAAAGAUGGGUGACUGCUGGAGCUACCCUGCUGGUCAGGAAGUUCCUCCUUACCUAUCUCCCUUUAGCUGCAAUUCCUUCUGGGUUGGUUCUUGGUGGAGCUGGGAAUGCAUGGUCUCCACCCUGUAAAAAGAGUAACCCUGGCCUUCCUUUCUAAAUUUGUGAUUCAGACAGUCAAUCUCCACACCCUGCUGUCCCUACCCUCCACCUGCUCUUCUUCCCCUGACUCAGCCUGGCACCUCUGUGCUCAUUUUUGGUUUUCUUUGUUGGCCUCUGAACACUCUAGAACCUUCCAGCAGGCUGUUGUCUGUCAGAGGUUGGGGUCGUCACCUUCUGCUCUUCUCAUCUGGCCUCAUCUUUCUAUCUCCAGUGGUGCUAGGGAUCGUACCCUGGCCUCCUGUGUUAGUCGGCAAGUGCAUUCCCACUGAACUACAUCCCCAGCCCCUUCACUUCUUGUUUGAGACAGGGUCACAAGUUUGCCCACACAGGCCUUGAGAGAGAGAGUGUGUGUGUGUGUGUGUGUGUGUGUGUGUCUGGAAUGACAGGUGUGUGCCAUCAGACACAGCUGCUCACUUCUUUAACUUUUUUCUUACCCUUUCUUAUGGCAUCCUGUUGGACUUCUUGGACUAUUAGAAGCAAUAUAGAGCUAGGACACGACACAGGUCUCUUCCUUGGCUCUGUGGACACCUGAUUCGACAGUAGGAGGCUGGCAAUGAGGUAUAAUGAUUUGUUUGUGCUGUAGUUGAAAAUGAGCAGGGAGAAGCCUUGUUAUUACCCAACCCCUGAUUACUGGUGUAGUCCUCCUCCGUUAACUUGGUAUCUGCCAGAGUGAAUGGGCCUGGUGUCUCCUGCCUCCUUCCUGCUUCUAGGCCUGCCCCUCCCCACUGGGACAGAACCAUCCGCCCGUCUGUCUGUCUCUGUCUCUCUCUCUCUGUGUCUGUCUGUCUCUGUCUCUCCCUCCCCCUUCUCUCUUUCUCUCUCCCUACAUCUUCUCAGUUCUUCUCAUCUUCAUUUUCUCCUAAGCCGCUCUUUUUCACUCUAAGUACUAGAAACAUAAGUGUCUUAGAAAACCUCCUCUUGCCACAGUUUCUCUGUUCUGUGGGGGUCGAUACUUCAAGGGACUCAUGCAGGUCUGUAGCAUGUUAUGGACAGGAAGACGUUUUUACGUCUGUGAGUUCUUGUGAGAGAGAAGGGGUGGAUGAGAAAGGCAGUGUGAGGUAAAGGACCUGCUCACCUAUCGUUGCUCCUUCGUCUGACUUCCUGUCUGCACCAGCUACAAAGGCUUGCCUUUCAGCAGCUUCUUAACACGUUAGGACCUUCCGAUGUCUCAAGGGGGAGGGGCUUGCCUUCUGUCCUCAUGCAGCUACAUUGCCAGCCCCAUUCUUGUUUGAGACAGGGUUACAAGUUGCCCACACAGACCUUGAGUGUGUGUGUGUGUGUGUGUGUGUGUGUGUGUGUGUGUGUGUGUUCUCUUACUGCCCCAGUCUCCUGAGUAGCUGGGAUGACAGGCAUGUGCCAUCAGACACAGCUGCUCACUUCUUUAACUCUGUUCUCCAGAAAGUCUGAGUUUCAUCUCUUCUGCCCUCCUGUUUCCUGUGGUCUUUGGGCAUUACUCUCUUGUUACUGCUUGGGUUUUACCAACUAUGAGAAUGGUCUCCUCCUUUUAAAAAAAAAAAAUCUGCUUUCUGGUUAUACUUACCUAUGACCUCCCCAUGCUUUUAGAGAACCUUGUUUUUCUCCCUCCUUCUCUAGAGACAGGGUCUUGGGUAGCCCAGGCUGGCUUACACUGUGUUUCUAAGAAUUGUCUUGAGAUUCUGAUCCUCCUGCCUGCUGAGUGCUGGGAUUAUAGGCAGGUGACACAAUCUGCAUGGUGUUACGUGGUGCCCCUUUGCCUCUUGCUUAUGUGGAAAGAAGGCAGGGCAGAGGCCCAGCCGUUACUGGGUCUCAGUACUACUGCACCAUCCCUCUAGACUUCAAUUUAAACAUGGCUACCUACUGCAACUGUCCCAUUUCCAGAAUGCCCUGCAGCUACCCUUUCAGGGUACCAAUCACACAUUUAUAGAAUAAUUCCCCACCUGUCCUGGUGUUUGGAUACUGGCAAAGCUCCAUGUGAUUUAAAGCAUUGUGAAUUUAUUUGUUGCAUGUGAGUAUGUGGAGGUCAGGAGCUUUUGCCUAUUAAAUUCAGGUCAUCAACCAGAUGGUGGUAGUACAUGUCUUCAAUAAUUCCUGCAAAGACAGGCAGAUCUCUGUGAGUUUGAGGCCAACCAGGGCUACACAGAGAAACCAUGUCUAAAAAAACAACCCAAAUUAAAAUUGAGGUCAUCAGGUGUGUGCGGCAAGCACUUUUACCUGUUAAGCCAUCUCACUGACUGGAAAGUCUCCACUUAAAUCACACUAUGAGGUCAGAUACAAGGCAUCUAAGUGUGAAGCUGCCGUUCUGUCUCAUGGAUGACAAAUAAGACCAAGUGGACAGAGCUAGCAGGAGCAGUGUAGUAUUGCCCUCAGAACACUAGACCGGCCUCAGUGCUGGCUUUACUCGAGACCAGAGGUUCUCAGUCCGUGGGUCUCGACUCCUUUGGAGUGGUGGUGUGAGUGUUGAAUGAUCCUUUCACAGGGGUGCCUAAGACCAUCAGAAAACACAUGAUUCAUAACAGUAGCAAAAUUACAGUUAUAAAGUAGCAACAAAAAUAAUGUUAUGGUUGGGGUCACCACACCAUGAGGAACUGUAUUAAAGGGUCUCAGCAUUAGGAAGGUGGAAAAUCAUCGGACUAGGCAGACAUUUCACUUGUAAGAGCCUUGGCUUUUUCAUCUGCUCAGCUCUCUAUAGGUCUGAGGCACAAAUGAAGUCACUUCAAUUGACUGCAGAAGCUGGGUAACAAGGAAAAGGCAGCAGCCAUGGGAUGAUAAAUCAGCUCUCCUCACUGUGGACACACUGAGUGUGUGGAAAGCUUGUUGCGUUUUGAAAACUAAGGCCUUUACUUAACUCAGGGCACUUGGGAAGGAGGGCUAGAGGCUAAGAUACCGCCUCAGCUGCCCAGAGGACUUGCAGAAUUUCCUGACCGAGGACGGUCAUCCCUUUCAGACUUGAGGCUGGAGCCUGGUCUCCCUGGCCUGCAGCUCUGUUUUCCCUUAGAAAGCUCUGUAGGCAGGCGGAACCUCAGAAGCAAGCUGUUUAUCUUUCGGGCUUUUCAGUUUAUUUUUAAAUAACUGACUGAUGGUAUUUAUUUUUUUUCCUUGUCCCUUUCUCCACUUCCCCAGCUCAGAAAGGGACCAUCUGUCUUUGCCUUGCCUGCGGCCAUUUUAGAACCCUAUCAUGCUGCUUGAGUUUUGGGUCCUUCUCUUUUGUUCCCUCCCCUACUGCCUGGGUGUACCACAAGCCUUCCUCAUGUAGAUCUCAAGUGUGGGACCAUUUCUGAAGACCUCUAGAUUAUUGCAAGCAGCCAUCUUGGGGCCCCUUCUGAGUCUGCAAAGUCUGAGGAGUCUAGGCAUGGGGAUAGUAAAAACCAAAGUGUGGAAUUAGGGGAGAUUCCCCCACAUCCUUGCAGCAGGCAGGGAGCGCCUUUGCUUUGACUAAUUUCUGAUGAGAAUGGCAUUUGUAUUCAUAGAUGUGUUCUGUUCUAACUUGUUUCUGUUUCCCCAUGUAUCUGCGUGUGUGUGUGUGUGUGUGUGUGUGUGUGUGUGUGUGUGUGUGUGUGUAUACACGAGAUUCAUACCUCCUGGCUUACAGACCUAGGAGGAAUGCAUUACACCACCCUUGCCCUCUAUGUAAAUACCCAUCUUGUUUUUUUUCCUCUCCCCUACUCCUAGAGCAUACUUGAUUACUUAAAAAACAAAAACAAAACAAAACACUUCAGAAUGUGGAUACGUGGAGGGACUGGCACUUUACAGUGUUCAGUCAGAAUCCAGAGAGAGCUGAUGAAGUUUCCCAAUGUGAGAGGGAAGCCCAUAGAGUCGAGAGUCCAUUUUUCACAGAGAGGAAAUCUGGGAACCUGAAUUUUGGAAGGCUUCAUGAGAGCUAGUUAAUUGUAAGUAGGUGUGCUGAAUUGAUGAGAAUUUUAGCCUUCAGAACAUUUAUGCACUCUCUUCCCUUCUUCAGGUACAGGCUCAUUGAAAAGGGGUCCUCUAGGGAGCCCUUCUCCAUCCACUUUCUUUUCCCCUAAGGAUGUAACCUGUCCAGUGCUUUGGCCUGAGGCCUGCUUUCCACACUUAGCCAUCUGGGCUGGGAACAAGGUCAUAUUGUAUGUCUUCUGAGGUUGAUAGACGAAGACCCACUCAGAUCCCCCAGGCCACCUGUUGAGAAGGCUAGAGUCUUACUGUACAUUUCCUUUGGGUCUUUGGAGCUGUAUGUCUCUCUGCUUAGGCAUGAAGGCAGAGGUGAGCUCAUGAGACUUUCUUGUAUGUCCUAGCUCCCCCGAAGCUCCUGGUUUCUCUCCUGUGCACACGCUCCUUCUUGCUGUCUUUGUCACACUGCUUUUCUUUCUUCUCCAACAUCCUUAAUUACUCAUAGCUAAGCGAAGGAUGUGAAGGACUACCAGGUUUUACCACAACACUUGUCUCUCCCUCCAAACUUCUGCCUGGACUGAGAAAGGUGUGUGGUCUGGCGGGCCAUGAGCUGUUGGGAAACCAUGUUAGAUGCUCCUCUGUGGUAGCUGCAGACACCCCCAAUAAUAGUGGUUUAAAGUUGUGAUCCAGUGAGGGUGGAACUGAGGGGUGGAUUUCAGAGUUGCAUUUGCACAGGGCUCACUCUCAAGUGCUCAGUAGUUAAUGCUUGCAGUGGCUUUGAAGUAGCCUAUGAGUUACAGGAGAUCAAAAACUCCUUCUCCCAGGAGGCACCUACCCUUGCAGAGACUUGUGCCAGGGUGGGAGAAUAUCCAGGGGAGCCCCCACCUGCUCAGAGGAGAAGGGGAAGGGGUAGGGGAAGGAUUGUGGGAGGAGGUGACUGGGAGGGGGCAUGAAUGGGAUGUAAAUGAAUAAGUAAUGAAUAAAUGAAUGAAUGAAUGGAUCCCUUAGCCCAAGCUGCCUAUCGCUGUUCUGCCACUACCUUUUUAACCCCCCAUCCCACCCCACUUUGUGCAGGCCUUCCAGAUCACAGAAGGGCUGAGGAAACAGGCCCAUUGUUUUCAUUCAGGCAUGGAGGCAGGCGCCUGCUCUAGCCUCUGAAAUGGUAGCAUAGACUUCCAGGGUGAGUUGCCCAGCUUGGGACUUUGUGCCACUUCUUGUUCAUCUUAGAGCUCAAGUUCCCAAUCUCUUCCUGUACAACCGUGGUUCUUCUCCUCUGUAUCACAGUUCCCCUAAGUCUAUUCAUCUUCUGUGCUGUCGGUCAUCAUGGCGAAGUCGGCUGUGAGUGAGGUUGGACUGCAGGAGAGCAGGGGUGUGGGGGGCGUUCCCAUCCUCCAGGCUCACAGCUGGCUGGCCAUGACUUGUCCAGUCCUCCCACACCCUGUGGCAGCUUCGCCUCCUGGCCCAGUUCCCAUGGGGCAGGGAGAGGUGAGGCACUGCCUGCGGUGCAUGGCCUGCUGGGCACAGCUAAGUGAGUAAUUACUGCUGGGCUUGGAGUACAUGUGAGACCUCUUGUUUCUACUUGGCUUUUUUGUCUUGUCUUGUUUUUAAUGUUUCUUUCCUAAGGAAUUUCUCCAGAUUUUAUAGUUCCAGAUCUUUCUACUAUACUAGCAGCUUCUCUGGAUUACAGAUAAGAAUUUCUGUAUUAUAAGACUCUGAAUCAGCAAAAAGACUGAUGUAGCAUCCUAUCCUGUAUUGCUUCCCAACCCAUCUUACCCUUUACAAUGUAUCACUUGUAACUAGCCCUCAGGCUACCUUUUAUAGUCUCCAAAAGAAAAAUGAUUUUUGUUUUGUUUGACAAAGUCUCACAUAGCCCAGGCUGACCUUGAACCCUUGUAGCCAGGCUUAAACUCAAUGUCUCCCUGUCUCUGCCUCCUGAGUGCUGGAACUACAGGGGUAUGUCACCAUACCCAACUCAUACCAGAGGUUGACUGUCCAUCUGUUGUCCCCUUUUGAGUAGGGGCUGACUGUGUAGAUCAAACUGGCCUCAAACCUGGAUUGUUGUUGCUUGCCUCUAGCUCCUUAGAGCUGGGAUUUAAGGUAUACACCGCCAUACCUGGCCAUAUGUGGAAACGCUAGCAUAUGUGAGGGAUGAGAUGAUGAAUGCUUAGUCAUAGAAGCACUAGUAAGAGGGUGGGAGCAGCAGCCAGAGCCUCACUGUACGUGCUCACUGUACAGCAAAGUAGUUUUGCAUAUGCCACAGAUUCAGCGCUGAAGGGAAGACAGUGCUGUUUCAUUCAGGCACAAGUCUGGCCAGCCCUCAUUCUGUGUAUAACACCUAAGUGCUGUCUUCAUCCUGUCCUUGAAUGGCUCCUGUUCUCCUGGGAGGAGAAACGUUAUUGUGUAAGGUGGGAUAGCAAGUGUCGUCCAGCUUACUCAGGUCAGGUCACAUAACGGGAUGGUUGACUCUGGAAGCAGCCACGUGCCUUUAACUCUUAAAUCUUGCCUCUGCUACGUCAUGGGCUUCAGCCUUGAACAAGUCACACACCUCAUGUUAUGUGACAAAACUUUUAACUUACCCCAGAUAGGGAGUCCAUAACAGACCAAAGCACAGAUGCCACCUUAGUCCAAGUUGGUGAACCAGUGAGCUUUAUUGGGGUUCCUUACAGGAAUAUGGGUGAGGGUCCCUUACAGGGGUAGAAAUGACUCAAGGACAACUGCAUCACCAAGGCCCACCCUAGCAUGAAUGACAGACUCACAAAAACUGGAAACCUGGAGCACACUGGACAGCCUGCAGGCGGCUCAGCAAAUUGGAGAGCGUCCUUUCCAAGUGACACAGCGGGUCUGACCCUCUCCCGACAGCCAGCUGUUUUCUGGGGUUCCAGGUCUGACCCUCUUCCCGACAGCCAGCUGUUUCUGGGGUUCCAGGUCUGACCCUCUCCCGACAGCCAGCUGUUUCUGGGGUUCCAGGCAGCUUCGGUAUCUUCUUGGCAGCUUGGCUUAGUUUGUCUUUGAGGGACUCAGCUUUUAUUGCUUACUCUGGCAGGGAGGGGCCUCAUGAAUCUAAUCUAGUCAGUUUCGAGGGGACUUCCUAAAGUUAUUUUGAGUUGUUUAUCUUCCUGUUUAAGGAGUUACACAAUACCUUUGUUGUGGCUUUUGAAUCUACUGGGAAAGACCAAAGACUUAGAUUCAAUUUAAAUUUUUUUUUCUUUUUUUUUGGAGCUGAGGGCCUAACCCAGGGCCUUGCCCUUACUAGGCAAGUGCCAUAUCACUGAGCUAAAUCCCCAAUCCCGAUUCAAUUUAAAUUUAAAUUAAAUGAAUUUAUUCUUUUUUUAAAUGAAUUUAUUCUUACUGCUAACAGGACAACAGCCUUAGAGCCAAAUAGCAUACCUUGCUACAGGAAGAGUUUAUAAAGCUGGACAUCAAAGUUGGACAGUACAGUUACCUACGGAAUCCACACCGGGGCAAGAACAUGGUUUUACUCCCCUCCCCUUCUCAUCCCUGCUAUACAGUAAUAAAAAGACCGCGGCAUCCUCUAGCCGGCACAGGGGGAGGUAUGUGUAAAUUAUUACCCAGGUCUGAGCGCUCUGGCAGAAAUGUCACUAAUGACUGGGCUAGAGCAGUUUGUUUCUGGGCAGGCAAUAACACAGUGCCAUCAGCUUAGGAUUGCCUGUCACAUCCCAACACCUUCACAAUCCAGAUUAUCCGUGAGAAUACUACAACUUUCUACCUUGUGGGUGUAUCUGAAGAUUAAAUUGGUUGCCAUAUGUAAAACAGAACAGUACCUGUUAAUAUGGGGUCUUUUUGUUUAUAACAAAAGUUUGGGGGGGUUGGGGAUUUAGCUCAGUGGUAGAGCGCUUGCCUAGCAAGCACAAGGCCCUGGGUUCGGUCCCCAGCUCCGGAAAAAAGAAAAAAGAAAAAAAAAAGUUUGCUUCCUUGCUCUGACUGGCUUUGAACUUGAAAUCCUCCUGCCUUAGACUCCCAAGCAUUGGGAUUGCAAACACAUACUGCCUUGGGAGGUCAGUGGUUUUUACUUAAGGUUGGGAACCUUGUUGGAAUCUUGCUAAGCACCAGAACGGUAACGUAUGAUUCCAUGGACCACAAAUGGUGCUGGACUUCUGGAAACAGCACAGGGUGGAUGGCUGCAGUCUAAACUUAACUCCUGAAGCUCUCUGCCCUGUCCUGUCUCUCCCUGUCUGUUUUGAUAUCCAUGUCUCUCCAUGUCUGUUUUGAUGUCCAUGUACUCUGUUCCUUGACAGUUCCUGCUUUCCUUGGCCUGAGUAAUAGUCCUGACUCCAUUUUCUCUCUGUUAUCUUCUCCCCUGGUUGGAAUGCAUAGGGGUAAGUUGCCCUAGCUGACAUUUCCCCUCAGUCUUGGACUGGCAGUGUCCAAUCAGGAACCCAGUUCCUCAGGUCUCGCAAUCUCUUAAACGACAGGAGCUGUGAACCAGAGUAUGCUACAGGCCCUGGACUUAGAUUCUGAUGUUGGCUUCAUCCUUUUCUAGUUGUGUGUAACUCUGGGCAUGAAUUUAAUCAUUCUACCCUUCCUUCACUGUGAGGUGGUGACAGUUGUACCUCCCUCCCAGUCUUCUUUUUAUUUAUUUAUUUUUUCAGUCGGGUCCUUUAUUUCCUUUUGCACAUUAGGCCAUGAGUCCGUAUGGAGUGGGCUCCAGCAGCUCAGGCUCCUUCCCGUUAGUCCUCACAAAGUGGGCUUCUCUGGGUGGCACAGGCUGGCGCUUAAGCUAAACCCAGGUGCCCUUCUCCUUGGUGUCCUUUUUCUUCUGAUCGUUCUCCUUCACCCACUUCAGGAAGCUGUCUCUGUUCUUCAAGGGCUUGAUAUGCUCAGUCUGCACAUUGAUCUUCUUGGCUAGCAUCUUGCCCUUAACUUGCUUGUUUACAAUGAUGCCCAUGGCAUGCUGGGUGACGUUGCAGACUCUUCUGGUUUUGCCAUGGUAACACGUAUAGGGCAUUCCUUUAUGAACAGUGCCCAUUCCCUUGAUGUCCACAAUAUCACCCUUCUUGUAGAUUCACAUGUGUGUGGCCAAAGGAACAACUCCAUGUUUCCUAAAAGGCCUAGAGAACACCUACCGAUUGCCUCUCCUCUUUCCCUUUGUGUUCAUCAUUUUGGUGAGUUACUCGAAGAUGGCUGCCGCCACAGACCCUCCAAGCCUUCUUAGGAGAUUAUAGUUCUACACUGUUUGACCAGGAACAAAUCAAAUGCUUUCAAAUUACUUCUAGUGUGGCUUCAAUUACAGCGUAGUGGGUUAGCAUUUAUACUGCUCUUCCAGAAGAUCCAUGUUCUAGCACCCAAGUCAUGUGGUACACAACCACUUGUGAACCUGGCUCCAGGAGGAUUUAAUGCCUCUCGCCUCUGUUGGAUCCUCUGGAAUUGGAGUUACAAAUGGUUGUGAGCUACUGUAUAGUUGCUGGGAACCAGACCAGAUACCUCUACUGAGCCAUCGUUGCCCUUCUAAAUAAACUGCCUAACUUUUAAUUACAUGAGUUAUUAUGGGUUUUUUUUUGUUUGUUUGUUUUGUUUUUAUUUUUCUGAGACAGGGUAGUAGUCAAGUAGUCAAGUCAAAACACUACGGUUUCUCAUGUAGUCAAGUCUGGUUUUUAUCUGAGGAUAACCUAAACUUGUGAUCUUCCUGCCUCCACCUCCCAAAUGCUAGGACGAUAGGUGUGCUUUCUGUGUUUGACUUGGGACUUUUUGUAUGUGUUGAUCAGAAACACUUCUUAGGUCACUCAGUAGUGGAGUAGUGUUCUUCAAGUGAUGUAAAUAAUAAUUGGUUGAGCAUCGUGGUAGGCAGUCUACAGUAAUUAUUAUUAUUUUUGUUUGUGGUUUUAUUUUGUUUGUUUUUGAGACAGGGUUUUUCUACAUAGCCCUGGCUGUUCUGGAACUCACUCUAUAGAGAAGGCUGGCCUUGAACUCAGAGUUCUGACCACCCUGCCUUAAAGCCUGGCUAGGGUCAUUAAAUCCUUUCUGAGAUAGAAUUCAUGUGCCAUAAAAACUAGCUUUUGAAAGUAUCUUACUUACAUGGGUGUAAUACAUUCAAGACCAGCCCAAGCUACGUAUAAACCCCUGUCUCAAAGAAGUAAGUUAGUAAUUUUAGAGUGGCUUUUGGUAUAUUCAAGAUCUGUGUAAUCAUCACUGCAUCUAAUUUCAGAACACUUUCAUCAGCCCUAAAUAAAACUGUUCUCAUUAGCAGUCACUCUCCACUUCCCCUCCUUGUUAAGCCCUUGGCAAUCAUUUUCCAUGUAUGAAUUUGCCUCUUACAAUGACACAUAUAAUAGAGUCAGAAAACAUGUGGCCUUCUGUCACUGGCCUCUUUCACAAACACAUUUUUUCUUUUCUUUUUAGCAGGGUUUCAAACUGUAGCUCAGUUUACCUUACAUAUAGCCCUCUUGCCUCAGCUUCCCAAGUGAGCGUUGCAGUCACGAGCUGCCACGCAUGGCUCAUAAACAUAUGUCUCAAGAUUUGUCUAGCUGCAGUGUCCAGUCCACUGUUUUUUUUUUUUUCUUUUUUUUUCUUUUUUUUCGGAGCUGGGGACCAAACUAGGCAAGCUCUCUACCACUGAGCUAAAUCCCCAACCCCCAGUCCACUGUUCUUAAUAAUGGCUCAUUGUUUUAUUAUGUAGAUAGAUUUACCGAUUGACCUUUGGCUGGUUCUGCUUUAGGAUGUUUAUGAACAGUGCUGCUGUGGACAUUCAUAUGCAGACUUCUGUAUGCUUUUCAUAUGCAGACUUGUAUAUGCUUUUCAUAUGCAAACUUCCAUAUGCUUUUCAUAUACAGACUUGUAUAUGCUUUUCAGGUAUCUUGAGUGUGCAUAGCAGUGAAUUCUGCGUAACAUUUGCAGAAUUAUUUCAGCCGCUUUUUUUUUUUUUAAUUAAAAAUGGCAGGGUCUCACUGUGUAGCCCUGAGCUCACAGAGGUUUUCUUACCUCUACCUCCCCAGUGCUGGAAUUAAAAGUGUGAGUCCCUGGGUAUGGGAGUUGGCCGCCAGGGUAAUCCGUGAGCAGUGUACCAUUGUGUCACUAUGCUUGGCUUAAAUUGUUUUCCAAUGAGGUGAACUAUUUCACACUCCUCCCUGCAAUAUGAGGGUUCCAGUUUCUUCAUAGCUAGCCUUCACCAACCUCUGUUGACGGGGCUUUCAUUACAGCCAUUCCAAUGGGUGUGAACUAGUGAUCAUUACAGCUGUUUUGAUGGGUGUGAACUGAUGUCUUGUGUUUUUUAUUUGCUUUCCUUAAUGAGGACUGAUGAUAAGCAUUUCCUAUAUUUUUAUUGGCUACUGCGUAGAUUUUUAAAGAAACAUCUCUUCAGAUCCUCUGCUUAUUUUCAGUGUAAAUACAUUUUUAUCUUUAUUGCCUGGUUUAGACUGUCCUUGCGCUCAGCCUUACAGGAACAAUAAGUGCUGCCUGGGGUAUAGACUGGUGUGUGUGCAUCCGUGCAUCUGUGUUAUUACAUAUUUACUUGGCAUUUGUCUUGGUUUCUGUUCUAUUAUUGUGAUGAAACAUCAUGACCAAAGCAGAGUGAAAAGAACCGUUUAUAUUGGAGUCUUCCUUACAGAGUCAGUACCUGAUCGCCAUGACGGGGAGCGUGGUGCAGGUAGAGAGAGUCAGAUGGGGUCUGGCAAGGGCUUUGGAAGCCCACUUCCCGUAACAAGGCCACUUCUCCUAAUCCUUCUCAAACAGUCUACCAAUUGAGAAACAGGAAUCCAAAUACGAUUCUAUGGGGGCCACUUGCAUUCGCACUACCACACAUAGAAUGUGGGGUGUGUGUGCCACUAUGUGGAUAUCCAGUCAGAGGAAAGAAGAACUGAGGGGGAGUGGGUUCUCCCACUGUGUGGAUCAGGAAUUGAAUGCAGGCCAUCAGACUUGGUGGCAAGGCAAGUGUGUCUUUACCUACUGAGCCAUAUAACAGGCUUCAGGAGUAACUUUUUUUUAAUGCUUAUUCUUUGGGAAUUUCCUACCAUGCAUUUUGGUCAUAUUCCCACUGCCUCCAACUCCUCCCAGCUCCACCCCCAUUUCCCUACUUCUACACGUUCUUUUUUUAAUGAGUGUUUUACCUGUGUCUAUGUCUACCAGCUGCUUAUCUGGUGCCUGGGAGGUCAGAAGAGGGCAUCAGAUACCCUGGAGCUGGACGGGUGCUAGGAAUUGAACCCACACCCUUUUGAGACAGGGUCUUUCUCUGGACAGACCUGCUGUUCUGGAACUUGCUGUGUUUCCUCCUCCUUUGUUUUUUUCUAAGAAAACAAAACAACCAAAAAUUGUCAAUUUUAAAAAUUAAAAAAUUUCAAAGUCUAAUUUGUGUUGUUCAAAUAAGGCCAUGGCCUUAAAGAAAACUGACUUUGCCUUCCCUUUCCUUUCCAGUAGCUCCUUGGCUGUGCCGGGAAGCAUUGUGCCCACAACCCCCCUCCAGGCUGGGCUUUUUUUUUUUUUUAAUUUAUUUUUUGGCUAGAGCCUGUGUAGGUCUUGUGCAUGCUGUCACAACAAUUGUGAGUUCAUAUGUGUCAGUGUGCUGGUGUAUCUAGAAACCACAGUUCCCUUGUCAUAGCCUCCUCUCCCUCAACAACCCUUGAGUUUUGGGAUGGCGGGGUGUAUGUGGUGUUUGAGCAUUCUACAGUCUCUACAAGUCGUCCAGUUGUGGGUCUGCUGCAGAAGAAGUUGCUCAGCUGAGGGCUGAGAGAGUCACUGAUCUAUGUACAUAACAGUAGGUCACUAGGAGUCUGUGUUGUGGUCUGUGGAUGGUCGUGCAUGUGCUUGUGGGGAUGGACAUUAACAUCAUAGCUGUUAUCUCAGUAUCUCCCCACCUUACUUUUUGAGACAAACCUGGGACUCACUGGUUGGCUAGGCUGGAUAGCCACCAAGCUCUAGGGAUACCAGUCCCCAGGCUCUAAGGCAUGCACUGCCAAACCCACCUUUCUUUGUGGGUUCUAAAUAGCUAAUCUAGGUCCUGAUGCUUAUGCAGUAAUUACUGAACCACCUCUCUAAGCACCCGCCCCCCAUUGUGAGACACGUAGUAGACCCAGGCUAAGAUUACCUCUGAGUAGCUUAAAUAUAAAUGAGACGACUCACUCAGACUAUGGUUGUUUUAUUUGGCCUUGACAAUCCUGGUGGAACCCCCUAAUGUACUUCCUAGCUGCUGGCCUGGUUACCUCCCCAGAUACUUGCUGUUUCUCCUGGCUGUGUGCUCGUGGUACAUCACCUCUGUGGCACUUUCUCCUCUCUCCUCCUUAUUCCUCCUCUUCCUCUGCUCUCCACCCUUAACCAAGUAACUCAGAUCCCAUCUACCUCUAAUCCCUGCA